rnacentral:rRNA from 1 species
GACGAACGCUGGCGGCGUGCUUAACACAUGCAAGUCGAACGGAAAGGCCUGCUUUCCCUUGUGGAUUGCGGGUACUCGAGUGGCGAACGGGUGAGUAACACGUGAGUGAUCUGCCCCCAACUUGGGUAUAAGCCUGGGAAACUGGGUCUAAUUCCCGAUAGGACUGCAGGGUGGUGCCUGUGGUGGAAAACGAUUUUCUAGUGGUUGGGGAUGAGCUCGCGGCCUAUCAGCUUGUUGGUGGGGUAAUGGCCUACCAAGGCGGCGACGGGUAGCCGGCCUGGGAGGGGUGGCCGGGCAAUUGGGGAAGGGGGUACGCCCCGAAGCACAAGGGGGGGAAGAAGGGGGAAUAUUGCACAAUGGGCGGAAGCCUGAUGCAGCGACGCCGCGUGGGGGAUGACGGCCUUCGGGUGGUAAACUCCUUUCGACCGCGAGGAAGCCACCUGGUUGGAAGGGUGGUGACGGUAGUGGUAGAAGAAGCACCGGCUAACUACGUG